UGUGAUGUCUAUAUGUGAAUUUAUAUGUUUAUGUGAUUAUGCUUGUUUAUGUGCUUGAUUGCUAUGAGUUUAAUUCGAGUUGAGUGUUAAGUCGAGAGUAGGACUAUUGAAUCCUUAGGAGUUAAGUAUACCUAGGGAUUGAGAUUUAUUUGGGUAAAUAGAAGAUGAGUGAUAAGUUAUGGUUUGAGACGAGAUUGGAUUUUAGUAAAUGAGUUUCUAACUGAGGUUUAUCUUAUCCCAUGAACCACUCUGACGUUGUGACAUCCGAAGAUACGAGCAGAGGACGGAGGUAAGAUCGCCCAAGUACUACGAGAGUAAGCUAAGUUUGUCAGGAUAAGCGAGGAGGAGGAAGAUCGGUCUGGUGCUGGCGGGGACUUUUUGGACGACGUUGUUUCUUUUACCGUAUUCCUACGUCAUACGGUAGCCUUUUGAGGUUGGAUGUGUAUAUUUUGAACUUAUUCAGGAAAUACACUCUCGGCUAUAUGUCUUCAUACAUAUAGUCUGAUCACGUUUUGCUGCGAGACUCUGUAAAUUAUAAACCUUUGUAAAUUUUUAACUAUGCCCGCUUUGUAAACUUUGUCGAGAAUCUCUGUACUUUUGAACUUAUGAAGCCGAUAAUAUUUGUGUCUUUGAGAUGA